GGCAUGAAGGAGCAAGUGCACAAGCAGCUGUAGGUGGGAGGGAGAGGGGCUUCUGGGUUCCCUAACAACAUAAGUGAAGGAAGAAAGUUGAAGGAAGAAGGCCAGAAGAGGAGGGGAAGGAGGGCCCUUUUGGAAAGUCCUGGCAUAAUGUCGCCUCUGCAGCUCCAAGUGUUUCCGACCGGCAGCACACAGUCGCAUUGUUGUUCAUGGGAGUUUCUCCAAGAUUUCCACACCAGGACAUGGCACGCGCAGAUAGUGGUGAAGUGAAGUGGUGAAUGAUGCUGCAGGCUGUGUCCAGAAGUCGGGUGAUGAGGGACGCUCCCGGCCUUUAUCUGUCCCAUCCCUGGGGAAGAAGGGACUGGUCAUCUUCUUUCCUGAAGCCUGAUUGAGAGUGUGCUGUUGGUAGUUUCAUUCGCACCACCCAGGAGAGUUAAAUAUUCCCAUAUCUGGAGCACAGACCUCUGUUCCCAUGCAAUUGUUCAGGGAUGGGUCCCAGACAUUAGUGAUUUUCAUUGAUUCCAAUGUCAACUGGGAUUAAAAAUAAAAAC
rnacentral:lncRNA from 1 species